UACGAAGGGGGCUAGCGUUGCUCGGAAUCACUGGGCGUAAAGCGCACGUAGGCGGCUUUUUAAGUCAGGGGUGAAAUCCUGGAGCUCAACUCCAGAACUGCCUUUGAUACUGGGAGCUCGAGUCCGGGAGAGGUGAGUGGAACUGCGAGUGUAGAGGUGAAAUUCGUAGAUAUUCGCAAGAACACCAGUGGCGAAGGCGGCUCACUGGCCCGGUACUGACGCUGAGGUGCGAAAGCGUGGGGAGCAAACAGG
rnacentral:rRNA from 1 species